rnacentral:rRNA from 1 species
GACGAACGCUGGCGGCGUGCUUAACACAUGCAAGUCGAACGAUUUGGCGAACGGGUGAGUAAUACGUGGGUAACCUGCCCUCCUUUUUGGGAUAAGCCUUGGAAACGGGGUCUAAUACCGAAUAAAGGGGGAUGGGCUCGCGGCCUAUCAGCGUGUGGGUGGGGUGAUGGCCUACCACGGCGGUGACGGGUAGCCGGCCUGAGAGGGUGACCGGCCGCAUGGGGACUGGGAUGCGGCCCAGAAUCUGACGGGAGGGAGCAGUGGGGGAUAAUGCACAAUGGACGAAAGCGUGCUGCAGCGACACCGCGUGGGGGAUGAAGGCUUUCGGGUUAUAAACCUCUUUCGCUAUCGAAAGGGUAGGUGGCGAAGAAGCGCCGGCUAACUACGUGAGAGCAGCCACGGUAAUAC